rnacentral:tRNA from 1 species
AGGAGUGUCUGAGUGGUUUAAGGUGGUAGUUUGCUAAACUGCUGUGCUUAAAAUGCACCAUAGGUUCGAAUCCUAUCUCCUCCG